rnacentral:lncRNA from 1 species
UUUUUUUUUUGUAUUUUAGAAAGAUGUAUUUUAUCUUAUUUUUUGCAUUUCUUGAUUGUGUUUAUAUUGUCAUAUUUUUGUGAUUUUCUUUCUAAUCAUUCGUUUUCCUUUAUAAAAUAAAAUAGACAUGUGGAGAAAAAGAAAUAUAAUUCAGCAAUCUAUAGGUUCUCUGUAAUUUGUGCAGAGUACAAUCAUGAAGGGUCCUUAAUAUACAUGCUAAUGUACAUUCACAUAAGUGCAAGCCUGCAACUCUUUAAAUCUACGAUUAUAAGAUACAAAAUCUGUGACAUAAUAAUCUUCAUUUAUAGGAAUAUUUUUCAGCUAAGCUCGUCGGGAGAACUGCAGCUACUAACCAACCACCAGUGAAGAAUGACUUCAUCUGCAGAUUAAUGUAAAAAAUCGUAUAUGUACAUUCUCAUAGAGUAGGGUUGCUUAGCUAGUAGCUUCUCGAAACUUACUUCAGUAGUUGCUUGAGAUUUUUAGAUAACAGCCUCGAUAGCCUGUUAGUCUCAUAACGAAACCCCCCAGAUUGCUGAAGCAUCUUCGCUACACUUAGCAUGCACUUCCUUGAUUCUAUCCACUGAUUUGCAAAUCCCGCUGCAGGACCAGUCGAAUGAAGCUACACAAACACUGCCUGCUUGUGCUUUCCAUUCACAUUCUGGAAAGUACGCCACCAAGUUAGUGAAUUUUUCCUUCAAAAUUAUAUUAAAAAAUAAAAAAUACACUUGAAAAAUUGUCAUACCUGGGGGAGUUCCGCAACACAUGGAGUGCUCGUUAAUGUGCUCCACCUCAAGCCCAAUAAACCAAGUACCAAGUGACACAUCUUCAUUUGCAUAUUUAUGCAGUAUGGCCCUGAAAUCAGUUGUCGACAAGUUCUUAUCAAUAAAAGAAAUUCAUUGCUUGGCAAAAUACUUAUGAGAGAGGACUUUUAAAUUUGCUAUUUACAAUGAAAUCAUUUUUGUGUGCAGAUUUUAUUUCAGAUUGCGGAUUUACAGUAUAAAUAUAAGUAAUCAAAUUCUUACUGGUUAUCGGAGACAUAUUUUGCCAGAUUCUUAGAGACGGCAUAAAUUUGCCCAGUUGCAUGCCGUAAGUAUUUGUUACCCUCCUCCCCGAAUUUCCAGAAUUCGGGCUCGUGGUACUUGACAUUCCUACAGAGAACACAAGAUUGAUAAGUUCAACAGCAAAAUUUACAAAGGUUAUAAUUCAGGUAUACUAGAAAAAGCUUACUUUCGAGAUAGAACCGGUCCAGAUUUCAUACAUCCUAUAUAUACCCUAGGUUUCAAACGAUGGCGGGCAAGGGUUGCAGCUAGCAUACCUGCAUUGCGCUAUAAAUUAGAUAAAUAAAGUAAUACACCUUUAUCUAUGGAUACAAAUAAUAAACUAAAAAGCGAUAUACUGCUACAGUCAGAGUAUGAAACAUUAAUGAGUGUAAUUAUAUUUGAUUUUGUCAUUUUGAAGAUAAAUGUCUCCAAUUGAUCAAACUUGAUCAUACAUAUAACGAGGAAGUUUUAGGUUUAGGGAUGACAACAGAGACUGCAGUGACAAAAUUGUGAAGACAUACCCAAAUUUACGUGAACAUCAUCAUCAAUCUUGACAUAGAAAUCUGCAUCCCACUUGGCAUAUGCUGUUGACAAAAAUGUUUUCGUCUUUGCAGAUAACUCAUGAUAACCUUCGACAUGAUCCUAUUAUGCCAACAUGUCAGUGUUUGAACUCAUAUAAUACCAGUGCUUAAUCAUACAAACAGUGUCAAACUCACCAGCCUAAGAAAGUCGUUGUGCUGAGAAUCCUCUGAAUCAAUUGCUCGAUCUAAAAUGCUAUUUGAUGUUGCACUGCAUUAUAAAGUUAGAAAAUUACUUAGCCUGAAUACUUUAAUAUAGGAACAGUUAAAGUAUACUUUAAAAAGAUUCAUGUGCACUUGGUACCUCGUUAUUCUACUUUAAAACUUUAAAACAUAUUUUUGUACCAGUUAAUUUCCUCUAUCGAGAUGAAACCAACUUGAAGUUUAUAUAAAAAGGUGGAGAAUCUGGAACUCAUGAUUAUAAAAGUGAAAAUGCAAGAUUGCUGUCAUACUGAUAUCCAGCAGCCAAGAGUGUGAAGGAAUAAAAAAGAGAGGAUAUAUAAUUUUAAGAUCAGCAUAGAAGUCUUAAGCCAGAGCAAUUUAUUAAAAAUGAAUAUAUGUUCCGCAUACUUGUAUUUGACCAGUAGUUGCUGAUAUAAGGUUCAUGUUAAGUGCCAUUUUUUGUGUUCAGUAGUUAUGCUAGGAAAACCUUGCAAGAGCUGAAUAGAAUGGGAAUCUUUGUUUGUUUACAUUACGUAGUCUUUACAUAAUUUCAUCAGUCAAAACAGUGAAGGGCUUGAUCAGAUAAUAAAUUGAAUGCUGCAAUAUAAGAUGAUAUAUUGAUGGCUCUUUGAAUUAAGGAUAGAAGCUCAAAUACCUGUGGCCAAUCAUAAAACGAACAACAAUCCCCUUUUCCUUCUCCAGUUUUAAUAGCUUCUCGCCUAGUACAAACAUAAAGAUAUGUAAAACAGUCCUAACGAUUAUAUAUACCUAUAUCUAAGUAGAGAAGAAAAAUACCUUGAGGCAUCCAAGUCUGUCUAACAGAAUCACGCCUCUUUCUACUGCUGAAGGCAGUGUUUAUCCCGAUAACCAUAAAUGCUUUUUGCUUUGUAGUAUUGGUCUCUAUACCAGACAGCUUGUGACUGCUGCUUCUUUCAACAGAGGGAAGCUCCAUUCGUAAAUCAUCAAUUGAGUUGUCCAGUGAUCUGAAAGGGGAACAACAAUUUUUACAUAAUAUUUUAACAGAAAACCAGUAAUUUCAUUUAUUCAUUUGUUGCUUCCUAUCUUUCCAGGCUCCCAGCUAUCUUGCCUUCCCUAUAGCAACAAUUUUGAUCGGAUUUAUAUUUUGUUAAACACUGAUUGUUGCCGCUGCUUUUAGUCCAAAAAGGAAUUCGGUAAAAUUUAGCACAUAAUGAAAUGAUAAUGGUCAACAUACUCACUGUAUAGCUUCAUGUGUUUUCUGAAACUCUCCCAGUAUUUCGUUGUUCUGAUACAAUAUAAGCCAUAGUGAGAACGAUGUUACAGAUUAAGAUGAUGAAGAAAAUUACAUAUCUGUAUAGAUAACCCAUUAGUGAAAAGAAAAAGGAGAGAGGAGAGAGGACCUUUUUUGUAGUGCAAUCAUCAGCAAGAAGCUGCAAGUCUUGAUUGCGCUGCAGCGACCACAUGAUUUGGCCCUUGGAUUCGGGAAGAAGCCAUACUCUGCACACAAAAAAGACUUAAGCCAACGCUCUAGCAAUCAAAUUGAAUUACUAAACCAUGCUGUUAAAGAUCUCAUUCAUCACACGAAACUUAAUAAAUUUAACAAACAGUCACAGGCUAAAACAGAAGAUAUGUGAAAUCUCGUUUUACUAACAUCAGCUUUCCAGUCCAGGACUAGUUUAGUUCUCUGCUCGUGGAUAUUUAAAACCUCACCUCACCUUCUAUGAUGUCUCAAAAUCAAAGUAAUAUGGAAAAAAUAAGAAAUCUGAGUUGAACAAAAAGUCAAUCCCUCAGAACCCAAAAAAGGGCUUGAAGUCUAGGAACAUGAUUCAUUACUAUCACAGAACUAAUUAAACAGUUCUGAUCACGUUGUCCAAACCAGUUCCUGUCAUAAAUUAAUUCUUCUCCUCGGUCGAUUAGGUUUAUGAUAUAUUGUUCUCCGUCUCUUCUAGAAUCAUUUGUAUCCCGCUCCGAGGUUGUUUAGCACGCAAUCCGUCUUUGUCAGAACUACAGUAACGACUCUAGAACUUCAUAUAUCCCUCGAUAACAAGUUUUUCUUUAAGAAACCAAAACAAUCUUAUUUUUUUCCUAGAUAUUCAAAUUAUCUUCAGCUGGUUGCUAAAUAAGAAUUUGGACAUCAGUACAUACAAAUUAAAAAAUAAAUAUACGCACCUGCUGGAAACGAGCAUGCCAAGUGCAAAGGUGAAGAUACAGGACAGGACAAUCCACUUAGGUGACACUUUUCCGCUGUUCCGAGAUUUCGUCAUGGAGUUAAAAGAAGAAGACAUGCGAAACUAUACAGAGUAGAUGUUAGAAAUUGGAAUGAUAUUUGAUGCGGGCACGCCCUCCUCCAAACACCCUAACAGCUCGAGGUUCUAGGAGAAUUGAUCACUUAAUACGGUGUAAACAACAUAUAGGAAACUAAGGAGGUAAGAAAGAAGAGGAUUGAGUGAGAAACGGGGAAUACAGAGUAUGUUGUACGUAAGAGCCGAGGCUUUUUGGACAACGGAGACUACGAAGUAGCUGCGAAGUUAUAGCACACAUUGUUUGGCUUUCAGUAAUGUUACUUAUUCCACGGCUUGUUUGUUUUGGUCUUGUCUUGCCUUCAACUGUAGAACAAAUUGCUAUUCAGGUCAAUGAGAACCUAACUUUGUCAAAUGUCCAACUUUGUCCAUGAAAAUUGUGACACCUAAUCCCACUUUUCUUUCUUUCCAGGCCCAAGCUAUUUUAUUAUUUUUGGUUAAACAACUAUUUUUCUUUUGUUAGACAAUUUUCUUAAACAAUUAUUUUUCUUUCUUACGCGCGUCAUUCAGGUUUUAAAGGUAGCCGCACUGACUGGCGACUGCUAUCUGAAUAAUAAAAGAACAUGUUUUAAAUCCAUGGCAGGCCAAUCAUGCUAAAUGGGAUCGCCACCCACAGUUGAAAUUGCUCUAAAAUCAUGAAAUUCUGUAUCGUAAAAAGUAGAAAGUGAAAGUGUGAAACUAAUCGGUGGAGAUUCCGUUUAGAAUUAAACGAAUAAUCGGGAAUUAAUUAAAAUAAUUAACAGGGAUGGGAUAUAUUAAUAUAUUAUAAUAAUAAUUAAUUUAUUAAAUCUUUUAUAUUAUUUAAAAAAUAUAUUGUAAUUAAUCCGAUUUAAAAAUCGAACCGGUGCGUAUCUUGUAAAAAUUAAUCGGUCAAAUAGGUUUGUUUUAGGACUAUGCUAAUGAUGUAUUGCCUGGGAUUCAUGUCGGCACAAUUUUGAAUUUAUAAGCCAACAUAUAUAGGAAAAUGGAUAUCAUGCCACACAUGAGCUUGAUAUUUCUCUUAGAGCACCAACAAAAUCCAAUUGGGGAGUGGAAGACAGACACAUUAGAGUCCAUGGUACAUCAAGCUACAAGCCAUGGCAAAGACAUAACACCACACAGAAAUGUAAAUCACCGGUUCUUGUUGCAUACUCUGACUUGAAAAGGUCAGAACAUUCAGGUAAAGUAGAUAUGGCUCCAGGCUUCCAGAGAAAACGAAACCAGACAGAGUGCUCCAACCUAUGUAAAAGAAACUCUAACAGUUGCAACUAUAAACUUGGUGAACCAAGAGCAUACAGCAGUGCCUCAUGCGCAGUGCAAGGACCAUACUAUUGUGACAUGGGCACCUUUCGAUUCUCCUCAGUCCUCAGAGCCAAAGUAAAUGUGCAUAUUAGGGAUUAAGCUUUUCUAGAUGGAGUAAAUUACAUAAUUUUCUGGUAGUUUAUGUCAAUAGCUCAUGUCAUAAUAUUAGUAACGAAACUACUCCAGUCAACAGAGUACUUCAGUACAUUACAUGUGAAUGGCAAGUAACAGGACAACAGGAUAUCUAUAAUAUAUAAAAUGCAUAAAAUGUAAUCAAAGUGUAUAAAUGCAACUGAUUACGGUAUAAGUGAUUGCAAACACCUGCACAAGCAGAGACUGUAAAAACCUUUGGAAAAGGUUGGAAGGUUUGAGCAAACUUAAUUCUAUGUUUACCUGUCUUAUUUCGAGCCAACUCAACUCAAUAUUUGGCGCCGAUACCUUCUGUACCCAGACUCUUUCCAUCUAAAUAAGAAUGAUUACUUAAACAGACAUAUCUGUUACAACUAACAUUUUACAGCAUAUAUAUGUCAAGGCAAAAGAUCUUUCCUUGUAACAAGAAAGGUUUGUGUCAAUAAAACUUGCAAGUCACUAGAGCUCUUAAUAAUAAAACUGGAAGCAGAGCAGAUUUACCACAUACUUCAAACCAAAAAAAAAAAAAUAAAGUUCUCAAAGAACACGGGUUCUUCUGCAGCGUCAACAUUAAACAGACUUAAGCUAUUUAAAUACCAAUACAAUACACAAAAAGAAAAUCAGUUGUAUUACGGUAUCAAAAACCAACUAAACUAAACAGCUGACUGCCACAAAGGUUAUCUUAAUCAUUUGUGCAUUCUAAUGAGAUUUUGAGAUACCAAGUACUAAAGAGACUAAUGAUUUCAUUUCCAAAACUUAAACUGACAGCAGCAAAAGUAAUAAUUAUAUCUCAUCAUGAAAAACAUGACUCAAUAUUCGUUAAUACUCACUGAAAUAACUGUGAAAUACAAAAUACAUUUAUAAAAUCAGCGGAAGAACAAUUUCAUUAUGCAAGUUCAAUUUCUUUUAAAUCGGUUACCAUCCAAUACUACCUUGCAUCGUUCUGUAGUAUAUACCACAGCUUGAUUAAUGCUCCUGUUCAAGUUCUUGGUCACAAAAUUACCCCAACCACAACAUGUCUACACCACAUCAUAACAUUCUUAAUCUAACUCGCAAUACUAAAACAUCAAUCCAAGUUUAACCUAAACCUAAACCGAAACGAUACAAUUCAAAUAUUAAAUAACUACUUUACCAGAGACUCUAAAGCAUGAAAUUCAAUUAGGGAAAAUAAACCUCAAAUUAUCAAAGUUCACGUAAUUAUCGCAUAUUGUAAAUAUCCAAUUGCUAGAUUGGUCACAUAAAUUAUUCGAAUCAAAAUCGAUCCAUUACAAAUACAAAAUUAGAAAUAGCAUAAUCAUAUUCUAGUGAUUGAGUUCCAUGAUGCUUUUGACCUUGGGUGCGUAGAGCGAAUAAACAAGAGCCUGUCUCUUCGCAACCUCCAGCUGCGACUUGCCGUCGGCGAAAGCGGCGGACGGGUCGGUGGCAUGUUUGUUGAGACGAAAGGCGUCGAUUGUACGACGCUUACUAUAUUCUCUGAUGUUGUAAUCGGAGAAUUGACGGGAUGUUCGAAGGAGUGACCGGAAUAGAGACAGGAUUUCCGGCCGUGACGGCGACGCAGCGGCCAUUUUUAAGCUUUUGGUUUCUUUUGGUUGGCUAGAAGAAUCCGCAACCUUAUGGUAGGUUUGUAUUUAUGGCAUGAAUGUACCGGUAAUAUUUGUAUGUCUUUUUUAUUUUUUAAUAUUUAUUUAGUAUAAUUUUGUUUCCGUUCAUUUUAUUUUCUCUAAUCUAAUUAUAUACUCCCUCCAUCCCAUUUUAAUUGACACUUAUUCCUUUUUGGGACGUCCCAAAAAGAAUGAACCUAUUACACUGAAUACUACUUUUCACUAUUACACCCCCUACCUUUUUCCACUAUCUCUAUUCUAUAAUAAUAUAACCACUGUUACACCCACUACUUUCC